rnacentral:rRNA from 1 species
UACGAAGGGGGGCUAGCGUUGCUCGGAAUCACUGGGCGUAAAGGGUGCGUAGGCGGGUCUUUAAGUCGGGGGUGAAAUCCUGGAGCUCAACUCCAGAACUGCCUUCGAUACUGUAGAGCUUGAGUUCGGGAGAGGUGAGUGGAACUGCGAGUGUAGAGGUGAAAUUCGUAGAUAUUCGCAAGAACACCAGUGGCGAAGGCGGCUCACUGGCCCGAUACUGACGCUGAGGUGCGAAAGCGUGGGGAGCAAACAGG